AACGAACGCUGGCGGCAUGCCUAACACAUGCAAGUCGAACGAGACCUUCGGGUCUAGUGGCGCACGGGUGCGUAACGCGUGGGAAUCUGCCCUUGGGUUGGGAAUAACUCGCCGAAAGGCGUGCUAAUACCGGAUGAUGACGUAAGUCCAAAGAUUUAUCGCCCAAGGAUGAGCCCGCGUUGGAUUAGCUAGUUGGUGAGGUAAAGGCUCACCAAGGCGACGAUCCAUAGCUGGUCUGAGAGGAUGAUCAGCCACACUGGGACUGAGACACGGCCCAGACUCCUACGGGAGGCAGCAGUGGGGAAUAUUGGACAAUGGGCGAAAGCCUGAUCCAGCAAUGCCGCGUGAGUGAUGAAGGCCUUAGGGUUGUAAAGCUCUUUUACCCGGGAUGAUAAUGACCGUACCGGGAGAAUAAGCUCCGGCUAACUCCGUG
rnacentral:rRNA from 1 species